rnacentral:rRNA from 1 species
CAGCCGCCGCGGGAAUACAGAGGGUGCGAGCGUUAAUCGGAUUUACUGGGCGUAAAGCGUGCGUAGGCGGCUUUUUAAGUCGGAUGUGAAAUCCCUGAGCUUAACUUAGGAAUUGCAUUCGAUACUGGGAAGCUAGAGUAUGGGAGAGGAUGGUAGAAUUCCAGGUGUAGCGGUGAAAUGCGUAGAGAUCUGGAGGAAUACCGAUGGCGAAGGCAGCCAUCUGGCCUAAUACUGACGCUGAGGUACGAAAGCAUGGGGAGCAAACAGGAUUAGAUACCCGGGUAGUCCCUGUCUCUUAUAA